CUUCACCGAACCAAGCCACAACGGACGCCCCUCAACCCGACCCUGCCCAUACGUCGCCAACAACGCCUGCGCCUC
rnacentral:antisense_RNA from 1 species